CACGUAGGGUGCGAGCGUUGUCCGGAAUUAUUGGGCGUAAAGAGCUCGUAGGCGGUUUGUCGCGUCUGGUGUGAAAACUCGAGGCUCAACCUCGAGCUUGCAUCGGGUACGGGCAGACUAGAGUGCGGUAGGGGAGACUGGAAUUCCUGGUGUAGCGGUGGAAUGCGCAGAUAUCAGGAGGAACACCGAUGGCGAAGGCAGGUCUCUGGGCCGCAACUGACGCUGAGGAGCGAAAGCAUGGGGAGCGAACAGG
rnacentral:rRNA from 1 species